rnacentral:lncRNA from 1 species
UCCUAAUAUGAGACAAGACAUGGCAAAAAAAAGUGUCAAACAAGAGAAUGAGAGUGGCCAAAGAAACGAGGUGGUGGUGGCCAGACAUGAAACAAAGUACAAGACAUAAAAACAUUUAAGUUUGAAAGAGACAAAAUUUGGAAAAGGGAGAACUAGCUCCGAUGGGGGAGGGAAAGCCAUUGAUUGGGCCUUUGAAACCAUGCCAGGAACCAAGAGCCAGGGGUAGUGGCAGAGGGGACGGCCAGGUAGGACAAUUAAAACGGAAGUCUGGCUCCUUACAACACAGCAUGGAGCGGGGCUACAGCAUUUGCUGCAGUGGGAGGUGGGGCCAGUCUGGCACAGUCUGUGGGUUUGAAAGGAGCUGGGCGGGUUGGAGAAUGCCAGUCAGCCUUUGUAGUUCUGAGCUCAGAGAGGGGGUGACACGUACUGGGCUUCAGGUCAGAAGCCUGGCUUGGGUGGCUUUUGGAGAAAUUUUCCCUCUGCUCCCAAACUCUUAAAAGGUGCUCAUCGCACCAGUGGCCUCCAAUCACAGCAUAAGCACGUGUUCCAAAGGCCAUCCUCCAGCAGAGAUUUCGGCAGUGGUACCUGUUGGCUGGCUCAUGGGGUCCUUUCCUUUUUCCAUUCCCUGGAAGCCGUCAACUGGACUGAAUACAACAUCUUUGCAUCUUUUUCUUCACCCUCCCCACAUGCUUGCAUCUCCCAGACUCCUAGGGUUAAUCCCCAGGACAACCUUGCUUUGAAAGAAAAAAUGUGGUGAGCCUACUUGAAGAUUUGGAUUCCAAGAGGCCUCUGUCUGUCCUGCCUCAGCCAGAGCCAGACAGCCAGCUCAAGGAGAUGGGCAAUUUACAGAGAAAGCAGCACUGGUCCUAUAGUACCCCUCCUCAGGAAUGUCUCCCCAGUGCAAGGACAAAGACUGAAGAGACUGCUAUAUUGAUGGACUCUCAAGCCAACUAUGAAGUUGAAACAAAGAAAGUGAUCACCUGAAGACACCUCCUCUGCUAAGAAACACCCCCAAAUUGUGCAGCUUCUGCCACUAGAACUCUCAGAACAAGAGACAAUCUUUUCAAGAAACAGAAAAACUCAAUAAUGACAUCUAGAUUUUCAUGAGCCAAGAACUUUCCUUUCCUCAUGUGUAUUCCUCUGUUUGUACUUAAAUUCAUGUG